AAGGUUCGACUCGAGCGAAAGCGAGAGAACGUUGCCGCAGGCAACGGCCCGAAGGAUGAGGAGCGAAGCGACGAAUAAUCCUUCCCCCACCACCA
rnacentral:sRNA from 1 species